rnacentral:rRNA from 1 species
AACGUAGGUACCGAGCGUUAUCCGGAUUUACUGGGCGUAAAGCGUGCUCAGGCGGCCUGGCAAGUCGGGCAUGAAAUCUCUCGGCUCAACCGAGAGAGGCUGUCCGAUACUGCUGGGCUUGAGGACGGUAGAGGGUGGUGGAAUUCCCCGUGUAGUGGUGAAAUGCGUAGAUAUGCGGAGGAACACCAGUGGCGAAGGCGGCCCCCUGGACCGUCCCUGACGCUCAAACACGAAAGCUAGGGUAGCGAACGGG